rnacentral:rRNA from 1 species
CAGUCGCCACGGUAAUACAGAGGGUGCGAGCGUUAAUCGGAUUUACUGGGCGUAAAGCGUGCGUAGGCGGCUUUUUAAGUCGGAUGUGAAAUCCCUGAGCUUAACUUAGGAAUUGCAUUCGAUACUGGGAAGCUAGAGUAUGGGAGAGGAUGGUAGAAUUCCAGGUGUAGCGGUGAAAUGCGUAGAGAUCUGGAGGAAUACCGAUGGCGAAGGCAGCCAUCUGGCCUAAUACUGACGCUGAGGUACGAAAGCAUGGGGAGCAAACAGGAUUAGAGACCCGCGUAGUCCCUGUCUCUUAUAA